rnacentral:RNase_P_RNA from 1 species
UGAGUAAGUCAGAUAGUCGCUGCUGAUCAAGGUCAGGAGAGGAAAGUCCGAGCUCCAUAGGGCAGGGUGCUGGGUAACUCCCAGUGGAGGCGACUCUAAGGAAAGUGCAACAGAGAUAUACCGCCAAAGUUUUUUUGGUAAGGGUGGAAAGGCGAGGUAAGAGCUCACCAGCGCAUAGGUGACUAUGCGGCUAUGUAAACCCCACUUGGAGCAAGAUCGAAUAGGAAGACAUAUGGGGCGGCCCGUCCCGUCUUCGGGUGUAUCGCUUGAGUUUAUUGGUAACAAUAGGCCUAGAUAGAUGACUAUCAAAUACAGAACUCGGCUUAUAGACUUAUCUCGUAUA